rnacentral:rRNA from 1 species
UCACACAAGAGACCCAAAUUAAUCGUAUACGGCGUAGAGAGUGGACCCACAAUUAUCACACUAACUAAGGCCAAAACGUAACUGAGCUGUCAUAAGCUUAAGGUACAUCUAAAACCGCCCUAAAAACGACCUUAGUAUUCAUGAUCAAGUAAAUUCCACGAAAGCUAGGGCACAAACUGGGAUUAGAUACCCCACUAUGCCUAGCCCUAAAUCUCGAUGCUUACCCCACUAAAGCAUCCGCCCGAGGACUACGAGCACAAACGCUUAAAACUCUAAGGACUUGGCGGUGCCCCAAACCCACCUAGAGGAGCCUGUUCUGUAAUCGACAACCCACGAUACACCCAACCACUCCUUGCCCAGCCAGCCUACAUACCGCCGUCGCCAGCUCACCUUUCCUGAGAGUACAGCAGUGAGCGCAAUAGUCCCAACCCCACUAACAAGACAGGUCAAGGUAUAGCCAAUGAAGUGGAAGAAAUGGGCUACAUUUUCUAACCUAGAAAACCAAACGAAAGGGGGCAUGAAAUAACCCCCAGAAGGUGGAUUUAGCAGUAAAGAGGAAUAAUAAAGUCCCCUUUAAACCGGCUCUGAGGCACGUACAUACCGCCCGUCACCCUCCUCACAAGCCCCAAACUUAUAUAAAUAAUACACCCCCUUGCUAAAGACGAGGUAAGUCGUAACAAGGUAAGUNUACCGG